AGGCGAAGCCGCGAGGCGGAGCAAAGCCCAAAAAUAACGUCCCAGUUCGGACUGUAGUCUGCAACCCGACUACACGAAGCCGGAAUCGCUAGUAAUCGCAGAUCAGAAUGCUGCGGUGAAUACGUUCCCGGGUCUUGUACACACCGCCCGUCACACCAUGGGAGUCGGAAAUGCCCGAAGUCAGUGGCCCAACCGCAAGGAGGGAGCUGCCGAAGGCAGGUCCGGUGACUGGGGUGAAGUCGUAACAAGGUAAC
rnacentral:rRNA from 1 species